rnacentral:lncRNA from 1 species
AAAUAUACAUAAAAAUUUAUAUACAAAUUUGAGAAUACAAAGAAAAAGAAAAAGAAUAAGUAACUCAUUAGUAAAUAAAAAAAGGGACACAUAAGGUAGGAAUGACAAAAGAGAGAAGAAGAGCGCCACCUAUUUCUUCACGGAGAUUCUAAAUGCUUAUAGAGCAGAAGAUGUGUAUAAUAUCAUUAAGGAAUAUAAGGAGGUAGAAGAAGUAGUUAUACCAACAAAAAAAAGAAGAUAAAUGUGGAAAAAGAUAUGAUUUUGUAAGAUUCUUCAACGUAGAAGAUGAAAGAAGUUUAGUUUAGUUUAGCAAUCAAACUGUAUAAAAUCAUCAUCGGGAGUUGGGAAGUCUAUGCUAAUAUUCCAAGGUUUCAAAUGAGUAAUCAUUAGGAGGAGGAACACAAAUUAAUAAGAAGAAGGCGAGCUUAUAAUAACCAAA